rnacentral:rRNA from 1 species
GAUGAACGCUGGCGGUAUGCCUUACACAUGCAAGUCGUACGAGAGUUUUUAACUCAAGUGGCGGACGGGUGAGUAACACGUAAGAAUUUACCUUUAGGAGGGGGACAACAACUGGAAACGGCUGCUAAUACCCCAUAUGCUUUCGAGUGAAAUGGAUUUCCGCCUAAAGAGAAGCUUGCGGCUGAUUAGCUUGUUGGUGAGGUAAUGGCUCACCAAGGCGACGAUCAGUAUCUGGUUUGAGAGGACGAUCAGACACACUGGAACUGAGACACGGUCCAGACUCCUACGGGAGGCAGCAGUGGGGAAUUUUCCGCAAUGGGCGAAAAGCCUGACGGAGCAAUACCGCGUGAGGGAUGACGGCCUAUGGGUUGUAAACCUCUUUUUCUAGGGAGGAUAAAAUGACUGUACCUGAAGAAUAAGCAUCGGCUAAACUCCGU